AUCACGACCGAGAGUCACGCCCGGGCCUCGGCGUGACGCUAUAUAUAUGAGCACCUAACCUCCGUGGCCGAUCAACUGGACCCACUAUAAGGAAGUGGCGUCCCGGACCGACUGCAUUACAUCUACUAUACAACGCUGGCGGCCCAGUUAUUUGGCGGCCCAGUAUGACUUCAGCGAGUUUCCAUUGCAAUGUGGUAACCCCAUCCGGACCUGGAGCAGCAGCGGGCAAACUUACAACCACGGAGGCCAAUUCCAGUAAUGACACCUCCUCGAAAUUGUCCACACAGCUAAGCAAUACCGAGCAUAAACUAUGAGCCUUUUGAUUCCAAUUCAUAUGUCUCAUUGAAUUAAACGCGGUUUUCAAACAAGUCUUAAAACGAGUAUAAUUAAUAAAACUUCUCUUAUGAAGCCCCGGAGAGGUUAGCGGACCUACUACUUCAAAAACAACAGGCAGGUGGUCACUGUUUGUGGCGCAGUCAAUCGUUGACCAUGAUGAUACAACAAUAUUUGUUCCAGAGAACGUGAGGUCUAAAACAAAUAAGCGAGACUGUCCUCGGAGAAACGUAACUGCUCCAGUGUUCGCGCAGGAGAGCCCAUUAUCUACUGUCCAUUCCCACAGUCAUUUACCACACUGGUCCGUUUUGUAUCCCCAUGAUACAUGGUGUGAAUUGAAAUCACCAGCUAAGAUUAUAUCUUUUCAGCAGUUUGCUAUAACUGAAUCUAAGGAACGUAAAUCCCGGACCCCCACAGGAAAGUUAGAAUUUACGACUGUGAAAUGUCUACAUUCAGGCAAAUUUAUUUCUACCUCAAGUACUUCGCUGUCUGGGGCCAUUAACGUGAAUGCUAACUUUGUUAUGUGGCAAAAUUUAGUUGAAACAAAU